rnacentral:rRNA from 1 species
GGGUUGUGAGGUUAAGCGACUAAGCGUACACGGUGGAUGCCCUGGCAGUCAGAGGCGAUGAAGGACGUGCUAAUCUGCGAAAAGCGCCGGCGAGGUGAUAUGAACCCUUGACCCGGCGAUGUCCGAAUGGGGAAACCCAGUGCAAUUCGUUGCACUAUCGUUAACUGAAUACAUAGGUUAACGAGGCGAACCGGGGGAACUGAAACAUCUAAGUACCCCGAGGAAAAGAAAUCAACCGAGAUUCCCCAGUAGCGGCGAGCGAACGGGAGCAGCCCGAGUCUGAAUCAGCUUGUGUGUUAGUGGAACGGUCUGGAAAGUCCGACGGUACAGGGUGAUAGUCCCGUACACGAAAGCACAUGCUGUGAACUCGAAGAGUAGGGCGGGACACGUGGUAUCCUGUCUGAAUAUGGGGGGACCAUCCUCCAAGGCUAAAUACUCCUGACUGACCGAUAGUGAACCAGUACCGUGAGGGAAAGGCGAAAAGAACCCCGGCGAGGGAGUGAAAAGAACCUGAAACCGUGUACGUACAAGCAGUGGGAGCCUCUUUAUGGGGUGACUGCGUACCUUUGUAUAAUGGGUCAGCGACUUAUAUUCUGUAGCAAGGUUAACCGUAUAGGGAGCCGAAGGAAACCGAGUCUUAACUGGGCGUUAAGUUGCAGGGUAUAGACCCGAAACCCGGUGAUCUAGCCAUGGGCAGGUUGAAGGUUGGGUAACACUAACUGGAGGACCGAACCGACUAAUGUUGAAAAAUUAGCGGAUGACCUGUGGCUGGGGGUGAAAGGCCAAUCAAACCGGGAGAUAGCUGGUUCUCCCCGAAAGCUAUUUAGGUAGCGCCUCGUGAACUCAUCUUCGGGGGUAGAGCACUGUUUCGGCUAGGGGGCCAUCCCGGCUUACCAACCCGAUGCAAACUACGAAUACCGAAGAAUGUUAUCACGGGAGACACACGGCGGGUGCUAACGUCCGUCGUGAAGAGGAAACAACCCAGACCGCCAGCUAAGGUCCCAAAGUCAUGGUUAAGUGGGAAACGAUGUGGGAAGGCACAGACAGCCAGGAUGUUGGCUUAGAAGCAGCCAUCAUUUAAAGAAAGCGUAAUAGCUCACUGGUCGAGUCGGCCUGCGCGGAAGAUGUAACGGGGCUAAACCAUGCACCGAAGCUGCGGCAGCGACACUAUGUGUUGUUGGGUAGGGGAGCGUUCUGUAAGCCGUUGAAGGUGUGCUGUGAGGCAUGCUGGAGGUAUCAGAAGUGCGAAUGCUGACAUAAGUAACGAUAAAGCGGGUGAAAAGCCCGCUCGCCGGAAGACCAAGGGUUCCUGUCCAACGUUAAUCGGGGCAGGGUGAGUCGACCCCUAAGGCGAGGCCGAAAGGCGUAGUCGAUGGGAAACAGGUUAAUAUUCCUGUACUUGGUGUUACUGCGAAGGGGACGGAGAAGGCUAUGUCAGCCGGGCGACGGUUGUCCCGGUUUAAGCAUGUAGGCGGAGGUUCCGGUAAAUCCGGUACCUUAUUAACGCUGAGGUGUGAUGACGAGGCACUACGGUGCUGAAGUGAUAAAUGCCCUGCUUCCGGAAAAGCCUCUAAGCAUCAGGUAACACGAAAUCGUACCCCAAACCGACACAGGUGGUCAGGUAGAGAAUACCAAGGCGCUUGAGAGAACUCGGGUGAAGGAACUAGGCAAAAUGGUGCCGUAACUUCGGGAGAAGGCACGCUGAUGUGUAGGUGAAGCCCCUGCGGGCGGAGCUGAAAUCAGUCGAAGAUACCAGCUGGCUGCAACUGUUUAUUAAAACACAGCACUGUGCAAACACGAAAGUGGACGUAUACGGUGUGACGCCUGCCCGGUGCCGGAAGGUUAAUUGAUGGGGUUAGCGGCAACGCGAAGCUCUUGAUCGAAGCCCCGGUAAACGGCGGCCGUAACUAUAACGGUCCUAAGGUAGCGAAAUUCCUUGUCGGGUAAGUUCCGACCUGCACGAAUGGCGUAAUGAUGGCCAGGCUGUCUCCACCCGAGACUCAGUGAAAUUGAACUCGCUGUGAAGAUGCAGUGUACCCGCGGCAAGACGGAAAGACCCCGUGAACCUUUACUAUAGCUUGACACUGAACACUGGUCCUUGAUGUGUAGGAUAGGUGGGAGGCUUUGAAGCGUGGACGCCAGUCUGCGUGGAGCCAACCUUGAAAUACCACCCUUUAAUGGCUGGUGUUCUAACGUAGACCCGUAAUCCGGGUUGCGGACAGUGUCUGGUGGGUAGUUUGACUGGGGCGGUCUCCUCCCAAAGAGUAACGGAGGAGCACGAAGGUUGGCUAAUCCUGGUCGGACAUCAGGAGGUUAGUGCAAUGGCAUAAGCCAGCUUGACUGCGAGCGUGACGGCGCGAGCAGGUGCGAAAGCAGGUCAUAGUGAUCCGGUGGUUCUGAAUGGAAGGGCCAUCGCUCAACGGAUAAAAGGUACUCCGGGGAUAACAGGCUGAUACCGCCCAAGAGUUCAUAUCGACGGCGGUGUUUGGCACCUCGAUGUCGGCUCAUCACAUCCUGGGGCUGAAGUAGGUCCCAAGGGUAUGGCUGUUCGCCAUUUAAAGUGGUACGCGAGCUGGGUUUAGAACGUCGUGAGACAGUUCGGUCCCUAUCUGCCGUGGGCGCUGGAGAAUUGAGGGGGGCUGCUCCUAGUACGAGAGGACCGGAGUGGACGCAUCACUGGUGUUCGGGUUGUCAUGCCAAUGGCACUGCCCGGUAGCUAAAUGCGGAAGAGAUAAGUGCUGAAAGCAUCUAAGCACGAAACUUGCCCCGAGAUGAGUUCUCCCUGAGACUUUAAGUCUCCUGAAGGAACGUUGAAGACGACGACGUUGAUAGGUCGGGUGUGUAAGCGCAGCGAUGCGUUGAGCUAACCGAUACUAAUGAACCGUGAGGCUUAACCUUACAACGCCGAAGGUGUUUC